GACGAACCUAUGAUCCUAGGUACAGUAAAGUAUUUUAUGAAGUUAAGACUAGUUGAUGCCAAGCGAGUUGUUUCUAUGUAAAGAGCUACGAUUCUCGCCCCCCCCCCUCUGAAGGUGGAUCGUGACAGAAAUGGCGGUGGCACCGGCUAGGUGCACGUGACAGAAAUGGUAGAGUUCGCCGGAUAGGUUCUAUUUCUGGAGAGAGAGAGAGGUAGAUUUUUAUGUUUAUUAUUAAGUUAGUUUCAGCUUCUGAUAGCAGGUUAUUAAGAGUUUACUUGAGGAGAAUUUACGGAAUUUAAUCUAAGUGGAGGAAGUCUUUGAGAUUUUUUUUUGACGUAACAGAUGUUUAUUUGAGGAUACUUGUAAGGAUAAAGUUUAUAGUGAUAAGUUGUUUUAAGUCGUUGAAUUUAUUGUAGAUUUAUAUCGGGGAUUAUUACGUGAGGAGAAUACGUUAUAAGUUAAAUGCUUAUUAGAGAUAAUGCAAGUGGUUUAAUUUAAUUGAAGUUCAUUUUAAGAUUGUAGGUUAAGAGAAUUAUAAUUUAAAAUAAAGUUUUUUGUCGUAAAUAGGAAUUAUUUUCAAGAGAAGUUUGUUUUGUUUUCGUGCGCGUAGGAGACGAGACGUACGAAUUAAAUCAGUCGAGGGAAGGAUAAACGUUAGAAAGGAAUUAAAGAGAAAACAAGAGUUUAUUUAAAAGAGAGUUAUAGAAUUUAUAGUGAUGUUUUGUUUUAAUUAGAAAAAUGUUGAGAGUUGUUUCAGAACGACACGUCAGUGGACGUGGCAGAAUGAACACGUGACGGGGAGGUGCUGAGACCUAGCGGAGAACGGAGGAACCGCAAGCGAGGGUUGGCGCACCUGAUGGAAUUCGGUGACGUCACGGGCUCAUACGGAGACGUGGACGGCCGUGACCUUGUUUUGAUCAGCUGUACGGUAACUUAGCGAUAAGAAAAUAGACUAUUGGUUAAAUAAAUUUAAAUUUAAGUGUGUUUUAGGAGAAGAGGAACUUUCAGUAUAUUCCUUAAGAUGAGCUGAGCAGCAGUCCAGUUUACAAGAUGACAAGAGUUCGAGAGACAAGAUACAAGAUCACUGAAACAAGAGCCAAGACUGAAGAUUCAAGAGAAGAGAAAGCUGGCAGCCAUGGACUUACAAGUGGAGAUUAAUAAGGUCAUGUAAAGUUUUAUUUUUUUUUAUGGAAGACAGUAACUGGAGUUUUUUUUGUUAUAAACAUUAUUUACAGAACUUUUUAGGUUAUAGUAAUGUAAUGGAACUAGUGAGUUGUGGUAGCUGUCAAAAAGAACUAAUACCUUAAGUUUAAUUUUUAAAGUUAAUUUUCUUAAUUUACAGAGGGAUUAGUAGUUUUUUUUAAAACCUUAUUUAGGUUGGAAUUUCAAUACAAUAGCUUAUUAUAAAUGUGUACGAACAGUUCAAGUUCACCGUACUGAUAGGUAGGUCAGAUGAUCUUAUUGAUUUUGAUGAUUUGUUGUUUUGAGUUGAUUUUUAGGUGUUGUGAAUUAGACAAUGAAAUAGUUUUGAAAACUUAAAUUAUUUCAAGCUAAGAAAUAGUAAAUUUAAUUGUAACUCAAAGGACACCAGAAUUUAAUUUUUUUUUGAAUUAGUAAUGUUUGAAAAUUUUAUACUUUACCAGAAAGGUUAUAAACAAACAGAUCGGAUGGAACAAGGAUGCAGUAAAUCACAAUUUCAUUUAGAAUUAUUGAUUUGCUUUUGAGGUUAUGAAGGAAAAGUAGCUAUAAUUUAAAAAUUUGAAUAAAAAUGGUUUUUUUUUAUUUGUUUGAAAUAGAAAGUUUAAAAGUUAAUUAGUCAUGAUCUAGGUGGGUGAUGGGGUGGGAAUUGGCCACUCUUUUUCCCUAUAACCUCCCUAACAUGGCCUUCUAUUACAUCUAACAGAAGAAAAAAAAAGAAGAAAAAGAAGACUUAGUAUUAGUUAGAAUGUUUUUUCAUGAAGAUACCUGAUGAACUUUUUUUUUAUUGUUGGGAAGAAUAGUAGCAAGAUUAAUCAGAUGUUUUACUCAGAAGAAGAAGAAGAAGAAGAUAAAGCAGUUUUAUGACUCGACAAGCCAGAGAUUGGUGUUUCCCCUCUGCGCUCCUAUUGACUACGUUGUUUACUCUCAUGGGAUAGCUGGUUCGGCACCAUGGAGAGAGAUUGGUGGGCAUUGUGGUUGCCCCCAGAAGAAAAGAAGAGUAGAAGAGGUUAUGGGUGGGUCAUGUGAACUGACCUUCAACCCAGUUACUUCGUGGGGACUAUUUGCUGUAUAGAGAAGAUCAAGACUCAAGAGUUAGGGAAAAUCAUUGGAGGUCAUGUUUCCCUUCCUUAAGUUUUUCCUAUCAAAUUAUUUGCCUGAUUAGAUUAUGCUAAGGGUGGGAUACUUUAUGUUAGCAGUUGAAUUAAUUAAUUAUAUUUUUUUGUGUGUUUGCAUCCUUGCCCAUCGAUUGCAGUUUAGUAGUUAGUUUUGUAUUUGUCAGGCGUGAUGGGAAUGCCUGUUGAUGAUGUUUCAGAAUUGUAAUCUGUUCGUGAUGAGGAUGGCACAACUCCGAAGCAGAUGUGGGGAGAAGUUGUGAGCUGCCCUGGAAGCCAGUCCAGUAGCUGUUGGAGUUGAGUGGUGUUUGCUGAUGGCCAGCCCAGGGAGCUACUCUUCUCGACAACACUGACUUCGAGGAGUUGCACCAACCUUCACGAGAUAAGAGUUUAAUUAAUUGAAACACUGUAAGGACACUUAAUUUUUUUUGAAGAACGAAAGAAGUAUGGUAAUAAACGGAAACCGAAAAAAAAAAAAAAAAUAAUAA